CGAACGCUGGCGGCGUGCCUAAUACAUGCAAGUCGAGCGAAGUUUUUCUGGUGCUUGCACUAGAAAAACUUAGCGGCGAACGGGUGAGUAACACGUAAAGAACCUGCCUCAUAGACUGGGACAACUAUUGGAAACGAUAGCUAAUACCGGAUAACAGCAUUAACUGCAUGGUUGAUGUUUAAAAGUUGGUUUUGCUAACACUAUGAGAUGGCUUUGCGGUGCAUUAGCUAGUUGGUGGGGUAAAGGCCUACCAAGGCGACGAUGCAUAGCCGACCUGAGAGGGUGAUCGGCCACACUGGGACUGAGACACGGCCCAGACUCCUACGGGAGGCAGCAGUAGGGAAUCUUCCGCAAUGGGCGAAAGCCUGACGGAGCAACGCCGCGUGAGUGAAGAAGGAUUUCGGUUCGUAAAGCUCUGUUGUUAGGGAAGAAUGAUUGUGUAGUAACGAUACACAGUAGAGACGGUACCUAACCAGAAAGCCACGGCUAACUACGUG
rnacentral:rRNA from 1 species